AUUUAAAUAGCUUAUAUAGAGUAUAACAUUGAAGAUGUUAGGGAAAUUUUUAUAUUUUUAAAUA
rnacentral:tRNA from 1 species